rnacentral:rRNA from 1 species
GAUGAACGCUGGCGGCGUGCUUAACACAUGCAAGUCGAACGAUGAAGCCCAGCUUUCUUGGUGGAUUAGUGGCGAACGGGUGAGUAACACGUGAGUAACCUGCCCUUAACUCUGGGAUAAGCCUGGUAAACUGGGUCUAAUACCGGAUAGGAGCGUCCACCGCAUGGUGGGUGUUGGAAAGAUUUAUCGGUUUUGGAUGGACUCGCGGCCUAUCAGCUUGUUGGUGAGGUAAUGGCUCACCAAGGCGACGACGGGUAGCCGGCCUGAGAGGGUGACCGGCCACACUGGGACUGAGACACGGCCCAGACUCCUACGGGAGGCAGCAGUGGGGAAUAUUGCACAAUGGGCGCAAGCCUGAUGCAGCGACGCCGCGUGAGGGAUGACGGCCUUCGGGUUAUAAACCUCUUUCAGUAGGGAAGAAGCGAAAGUGACGGUACCUGCAGAAGAAGCACCGGCUAACUACGUG